rnacentral:rRNA from 1 species
AUACGUAGGGGGCGAGCGUUGUCCGGAAUGAUUGGGCGUAAAGGGCGCGUAGGCGGCCUGUUAAGUCUGGAGUGAAAGUCCUGUUUUCAAGAUGGGAAUUGCUUUGGAUACUGAUGGGCUUGAGUGCAGGAGAGGUUAUCGGAAUUCCCGGUGUAGCGGUGAAAUGCGUAGAGUUCGGGAGGAACACCAGUGGCGAAGGCGGGUAACUGGACUGCAACUGACGCUGAGGCGCGAAAGUGUGGGGAGCAAACAGGAUUAGAUACCCUGGUAGUCCACACUGUAAACGAUGAAUGCUAGGUGUAAGAGGUAUCGACCCCUUUUGUGCCGGAGUUAACACAAUAAGCAUUCCGCCUGGGGAGUACGGCCGCAAGGUUGAAACUCAAAUGAAUUGGCGGGG